GAGUAACACGUGGGCAACCUUUCCUAUCGCGGGGGAUAACAGCGGGAAACCGCUGCUAAUACCGCAUGUCGUCAUCGGUCGCAUGGUCGAUGAAGAAAGCAGCAAUGCACGAUGGGGUGGGCCCGCGGCCUAUCAGCUAGUCGGUGGGGUAACGGCCUACCGAGGCGAUGACGGGUAGCUGGUCUGAGAGGACGACCAGCCACACGGGGACUGAGACACGGCCCCGACUCCUACGGGAGGCAGCAGUGAGGAAUCUUCCGCAAUGGGCGAAAGCCUGACGGAGCGACGCCGCGUGUGGGAUGAAGUCCUUCGGGAUGUAAACCACUGUUGGAGGGGAAGACAACUGACGGUACCCUCCGAGAAAGCCCCGGCUAACUACGUGCCAGCAGCCGCGGUAAUACGUAGGGGGCUAGCGUUAUCCAGAUUUACUGGGCGUAAAGCGCGUGUAGGCGGCUGGUUAAGCGUGAUGUGAAAUCCUCGGGCUCAACCCGAGAACUGCAUUGCGAACUUGCCUGGCUAGAGUGCAGAGAGGGAAGCGGAAUUCCACGUGUAGCCGGUGGAAAUGC
rnacentral:rRNA from 1 species